rnacentral:RNase_P_RNA from 1 species
GGAGUGGGGCUCACAAGCGCGACUAAUCGAACCCAGAUUAGUCGAGGAAAGUCCGGACUCCGUGGGCGAGGUACCGGAUAACGUCCGGAGGGAGUGAUCCCUGGAAAGGGCCAUAGAAAAGAAAACCACCUGCAAAGGUAAGGGUGGAACGGUGAGGUAAGAGCUCACCAGGCAUGGAGCAAUCCAUGUGCUUGGCAACCCCUACCUGGAGCAAGGUCGAGCAGGGAAAGGGUGGCUCCGCCCAUAUCCCGGGUAGACCGCAAGAGAAAUUUGGUAACAAAUUUCCUAGAUAGAUGCUUGUAAACAGAAUCCGGCUUAUAGCCCCACUCCUAAU